CACCUUCCCCUUUCCCUUUCUAUCAGUCUCUCUCUUCUGCUGGAGAUACCUUCUGUGCAUCCUGUAGCUAACUCGAUGAUCAUGGUCGAGCAGGCUUGGUUGGCUGACCUGCGCUCCCUCAAGCCCUCUUGUGGUGUGGGGAGCCCACUAACAGUUCACAGCUCUGCUGUGGAAGCUGCAGAGGUGGUGGGAGGGUGUUGACAGUCUUUUCUCAUCUGUGAAGAAAUAAGAAAGAAGACACCCAGGCUGUGUGAGGGUUCUCUGAGGAGCAGUCAGUUUCUUCUGGGGGUUCUUGUUAGUGUCUGUCCCUGGCAGGAGGCCAGCAGUUACUUAAAGAUAGCCACUAGAUAGAUAAGCAGGCCCAAAUCCUCUGUAAGGUCACCUUCCCUACUCGGGAAAACCCAGCCUUCCUCAGGCCUCUUUGUCAUUUAUUUUAGAAGUGGCAGGAGCUUUGCUGGGAUACAUUUAGGGCCCUUUUUGUUUUUCCAAUCAGAAAUCCUAGUUGCCCCAGAGUCUCAGGGCUUAAAGGAGUAAGGCCAUUAGUUGCCAUCUAUGGCAUCUUACUGUCUUUUCACACAGUCUUGUCUAGCCCCACCUGCCUCUGCUGCCACUCAGUGUCACUGCCCCAACCUGGCCCACUGUCACCCCACCCCCUUCAUGUCAUCUGGCCAUGGAUCCCACGUGUCCGCCACAACACUUGCAGAACGCCUGCUUCUUCCCUAGGUGCCAAUCAAAUGCUAUUGCCCCUUCUGGAUCCAAAUCUGGUAGAACUCCCUCCUCUGCAAGUGACUUCUCUGCAUCCCUUGGGGUGACUUUUGAGAGUCAGGCCUGUGUACGCCUAUAAUCCCAGCUUUCUAGAGGCCGAGGCAGGAGGAUCAAAAACUCAGGGCAAAGCCUGGGAUAUAGAUGAAGUUCAAAGCUAGCUUGGGCUAUGGUGUGUGAGGGUUGAUCAGUGGUUUCCUCUACAUCCCCGGGGGCUUCCGCUGGCCUGGAGGGGGAGCCCCGGAAGACACUUGCUGACUUUCCCCACUGGGCAUGCGUCUCUCUGCUUUGGAUGGUCCUUGUCUCUCCUGUGUACAGACUGUACUCUUUAUUUUAUCCAUUAUUUUUUCUGAGACAGGGUCUUUGUAGCCCAGGCUAGCCUAGAACUUGCUCUCCUGGUGUCUCAGCUGAGAUGAUGGGUGUGCUCCGUCACACACUUCUGAGUUCACAGAAGGUGUAGCCCACACCUCACCGCUCCCCACCUGUCACAGACGGCCCAGUAGCAUUCCCACGCAGGUGUUCAGUGACAGCUGGGUUCUGUAAAUGAGGAGAGACUUGACAGUGGGUUUCUUUCUGCUUCAGCCACACCCAUUUCUUCACUCUUCCUGCUCCCUGCCUCUCUGCAUGGCCACAUCCAGUCAUUCUGCUCCACUCCCUUCCGUCGGUCCACCAAGUCCUGUCUAGUAUCGCCAAGGCAAGACUGAGCUAGGAUGUCAGCCACACCCUGGUCGAGACCUCCCAGAACUGGAAGAUGAGUCUUAAUUUAUCCCUGGGUUCUCAAGAAAUACCAUUCCUUAUAUCUUAUCCAAGAACUCGGUGUUGAUAUCAUAUCUUUAUUUUUUCCUCUUUUUUAAUAUUUAUUUAUUUAUUUAUUUAUUAUGUAUACAAUAUUUUGUCUGUGUGUAUGCCUGCAGGCCAGAAGAGGGCACCAGACCCCAUUACAGAUGGUUGUGAGCCACCCUGUGGUUGCUGGGAAUUGAACUCAGGACCUUUGGAAGAGCAGGCAAUGCUCUUAACCUCUGAGCCAUCUCUCCAGCCCCUUGAUAUCAUAUCUUCAGCCAGCUGACUAACCAGAAAUGAAGCCAACAUCUUUCUUUGGUUCCCCACUUAGUGUGGUUGGGUAAAACCUCUCCUGCCUUGUAUCGCUAGUUCAUACAGGUCAUAGUGAUGAUGUCCCUCCUGGCAGUGUGGCUUCUACAGCUUUGAUGUCCUGCAUCUUGCUGGUCACCUCAAACAGGGCUUCAGUGGUGAGACCGGAGUCCUAGGUCCAGCCUCUCAGGCUGUACGUGGUCAUUGCUCCUGAGGACCCUUGAGCUUGGGGUGCUUCCAGGGAGCCUGUUACAAUUUCCCAUUGAUCUGGAGGAUGCAUGGAUCACUCCCCAACCUCAGUUUUAUUUACUUUUCUGAGAGAGGAUCUCACUCAGUAGCCCAGCUUGGUCUCACAGUCUAAGUGAUCCUGUUUCUGCUUUCAGAGUGCUGGAAGGACAGACAGGUACCACCACAUCUGGCCUAAUUCUAAAUUGUCUUCGACUGGAUCUUUAUUUAUCCUUGGGAAACCAGCAGACAUUACACAAAUAUUCCUCAGCAAUGACAGUAGCCUGCCACUCACUUGAACUGGGUAGGCAGAGGGCAGAGGAAUGGGUUCCGGGAACUGUCAUUUCGGUUUUCUCCCUCUCCUUCUCUGUCAUGCUGUAGAUGAAACCCAAUGCCUCUCCCAUGCUAGACAAGAGCUCUGCACCUCCAGCCCCACCGACCCUUCUUUUCUGAGCCCCUUUCAAGUGAUGUAAACAUUAUUUAAGUGUUCUUUGUAGCUGCGAUACACCUGUUUUUACAAACACAUGAAGUCUGUUUCCUUCUUCGUUCCUUAGGAGCGGCUUGCGGCUCACUACGCAUUCUGUAGGCGAGCCUCCGGGCUUGUUGACCAAUUCUUUGGUUUCCAAGUUAGUUCAUCAGAGAAUGAUGCUGGCUCUCCUCCAGCUUCUUGGAAAACUGGUCUUUUUGCCUUGGCAGCCUCUGAUGCUUUUUGUGCCCAAGAAGACACCAGCUCUACUCUCACAGCCUGUUUCUUCUCUCCAGCCCACAUGCUGCUUGCCUUGGCCCGGCACCAGGAAGACAGCGCACAGCAAAGGGCAAGCUCUUUUCCAUCCAGCCUGGGAACCGGCUAGAGCAGAAUGGAGCUAUCUGGUCCUAGACCCAUGUUAGGGAGAUUGAGGGGGGCUGUGGGAGAGUUUAGGAGUUUCUCCUCUCUUCCUCUCGUGUGUGAGAGAAGGCCCAGCGGCAAGGAGGCAAGAGAACGCUACAAAGAGCAGCGUUACAGUCAUAGCUCAUCUGAAGUUCAUCCUAGGAACCCCCUCCUUCCCUUGCACCCUCUACUCCUCAUCCUUUGUCCUCCUUUCUUCUCCUUCCCCCUCCCAUCACCAUCCAGCUCUUCCUUUCUAACUUAUCUCAAGUUUUCCCAUCCCUGGGCCUCCAUUUGUGUUUCUAUGGAAACAGACUCACAUCUUCUUUCUUCUACUUUUUUGUUUUUCCUUUUCUUUCUCCUUUUUCAAGACAGAGUCCCACUAUGUAAGCCCUGGCUAUUCUGGAACUCACUCUGUAGACCAGGCUGGCCUCGAAUCACAGAGAUCUGCCCACCUCUGUCUUUUGAGAGCUGGGAUUAAAGAUGUGUGCUACUCCACGUAGCAACCACAGCUUUCUUUUUGUACAGUUAUAGGUUGCAGAGUGAUAUUCUGUUUAGUGACCAUCCAUAUACAUGAGAGUGAUCCAUAGAACUGUAAUUAUGUUGAAAAUUUAUACCUCAAAGCGAUGCUGUAGUCUUACCAACAUAGAACGAUCCAUAGCUGAUGUUGAUGCAAAUAAAACUGUUGUACGAAAGUGUGACAAAAUAUGCAUCCUGCAGAGGGAACCGUGAUUAUAAAUGGCCGCAGUAGCAAGUAUACAUCUACUAUACUGUAGCAUUUAUUGUUAUUUUAGAAUUUAUUUUUUUACAUAUAUGUAUACAGUUCCCCAUAAGAAGUCUCCCCUGUUAGGCCAACAGUAGUCUCACCCAUCUUGGUUCUACAGCUCUUGCUCACAUAAUAUUUUGUAUGGUCGACUUUAUCUUACUCUGUUUUGUCCAUUGGGGUCUUUAAGUAUACACAACUCAUGGCUCAUGUUGUUACUAAGAAUCCACACUGAGCAAUUCAUCUGGAAGUGCAGUAAAAAGAUUAAAGGGGGACAAUCAGUGCAGGUCAUUGCUCACCAGGGCGGCAUGCACGCUCCUACCAUAGCCAGCACUGGGGAGAACCGAGCUAUUAAGGGGUUUGCUUUGCUGAGCCAAACACCGUAGAAGGUCUGUGUCAGAUGUGAAAAAGGUUCUUUAUUUCUUGUCUUUUUCUUGACUUUUCGAUACAGUGUUUCUCUGAAUAGGUCCAGAUGUCCUGGAACUCACUCUGUUGACCAGGUUGGCCUCAAACUCACAAAGAUCCACCUGUCUCUGCCUCCCAAUGCUGGGAUUAAAGGCGUGCACCAUCACUGCCCAGCGUGAAAGAGGUUCUGGUAACCUGCUUUGAAGACCAAAUGCUAAUGUCUGUCCCAGAACCAGGACUAUUGAGGCUUCCACAGAAAGCUAGUGGUGUUGAAGGGAGAAGACCGGAGAGGGGACUGGUAAGAUAUGUGUCAGUGGAUAAAGGCGCUUGUGGCUAGGUAUGAUCACCCAAGUUCCAUGCCUGGGACCGGCAUGGUGGGUGGAAGGACACAGUUGACUUCCCCACAUGAGCUCCAUGGCAUACACACCUCCUCUUCCACCGAGUAAAUAAAAUUAUUAUUAUUUUUUAAUUAAAAGUCUCAAUCUGAAUACUUUGUUGAACUUACUUCUAUCUCUGUUCUCUUGAACCUCGGAGGUGAGUGGUGAGCCUGCCAGGGCUGAGAUGAAGGCAACAGGGCCUUGGAAACUCCAGAAACAAUAAUGGAGAAGGAAAAUAGUUGCCAAGAUGAGUCCUCACUAGUGAGGAAGACUCUUUGUACAACAGGUGAGAACAGCUAAGGACUCGGUCUCAGAAGUCCUUGUCACUAAUGUAUCUGUCGAUGACUCACGGUUGUUAGUUUGUAUUUUCUUUAUUUUUUUAGACAGGAUCUCUCUAUGUAGCCCUGGCUGACCUGGGAUUUGCUAGGUAGACCAGGCUAGCCUCCAAGUCAUAGAUAUUAGCCUCCUUCUCCCUCCUGCCUUGGGUUUAAAGUUACGCACCACCAUGCCCAGCCCCCUCAUGCCUUUUUUCUGUUUUGCUGUCAUCUUCUCUCCCACCCUUACAAUCACCAUCUGUCUUUAUAGAGUUGUUGAUUUGUUUCUUGGUCACAUAGAAACGAAGUCAUCAACCUUUUGAAUCGGACGUCUCUCAUUUAGCACAAGCUUCAAGUUUGCACCAAGCACCACCCUUUGCUCCUCUUCACAGCUGAGUGGUUCCAUUUUUUCAGCAUAUUUGUGCUGAUAGGCCAUGGGCUAUUUUGUGCAAUAUGAAUAAUGCGCGAUAAUUUACUAAUUCCUCUGCGGAAGGAUUGCAACUUCUAGAAGGAUCGCUGAUUUGUACGGUAAAGCUGUGUUUAGCAUUUAAAGAAAUGCCCAAGGAAGCAUUUAAAAUGUCACAAAGUGAGGUCACAAAGUUUGUUAGUUUCAGAGGAAGUAUGAGGCAUGAAGCCACCAUCUUCUAGGUCAUUCUGGCCUAGCAUUUCAUGCUUCCACUGGCUCCCUGACUCCAUACAGACAAGACACAGCCCUAACAUAGCCUUUUCCUGGUUAUUAGUUAUUAUUAGGUGCUAGUUAUUCUCUGGAAUUUACAACAUAAACAACUAACUUCUAACCAGGGUCCUGCGCCAUUCUUGCUAAACAAAGCCACUGCAAAAACUGGCUUGCCACAGUUGUUCCCCACAGCCGGCUCCUCCCCAGGCUCUUUGGAUGUAAUUUCAGAAGCAAUUCCAGGCAGCUAGCAAGGGUUUUCCUUCUCAGGGUGUCUCAACUUGCUUUCAUUGAUUGCCUUUUGCUCCAACACCAGUGAGAGCAGGAAGCCUGAGCUGGAAGAUGAGGAAGAUAAGCAGUUUGUCUUUCAGUCUCUCUCCACACCUUUUCUCUAAGCAGGGUGGCUGGUGCACCUUCUGCUUACCAGCUGAAGGCAGCAUGGUGCUUGACCAGCUGAGGAGCCCUGGGGACUUAUGGCUCCUCUCAGAGACUUUGGGAAACACCUGAAAGAGCUUAAUGUUUGUAUAUGCAGAGCUUGAGUUUUAUCUGCCUGUCAGGAAAUCACAGGACCAUUAUGAAGAAGCUAGAAAAACACUAUGGACCUGUCCAGGCGGUGGCCAGUGGUCUGGUUCCUGCCCAGUCAAGUCUAGUUUGUUUCUUCUUUCCAGGAGAUCUUGUUUCUCUUUUCUUUCUUCUUAAGGCCCUGAGCCAACGAAGCAGCUGAGACGAGACACCAGCGCCAAGGUUGUGGGCAUGAGCACUCCCUGACCGAAGAGCUUUGAACCAUCAGGUCACCUGUGUGGAUAGCAUAAGCCAGGCCCUUAUUUCACUGUGUUUCUGUCAUUCAUGUCGUUCGUUCCCCACCUCUGGGUAGCACAGUCAAUGCAGCCUGCAGUCUCUGCUCCCUGCUGGACCAGAACCUGGAAAUCACCAGGCUGCAGCAGAUGGUUUGUGAGCGCACAGCUGAGCCUGGACUCAAGAUGGUUUUCCACACACCUUACUCCAGGUUUCCAGAGCUGGUAUCUGUGUGUGUGGAGUCUCCUUCCUUGGAUCUGUGUGGAUCUGGGCUUUGGGAGCAAAGGGGAGAGGACAGACGUGCUGGAGUACCUCGGGAAAGUGCCUCAGGAAACCCUGUUGCAUGGAGGAAUGCUCUUGGGCCAGAGUAGCCUAGGAGGAGACAAUGCCCUGUGCUCUGUGAGUUAGUCCCUUGUGGUGGGGCUCAGCUGGGGAAAAAUGCCCCACCCAAGUUCAUCUGCCCUUCCCUCAUGAUGCUUAAAAUUCUAGGUGAGGUUUAGAUACAGGUUUCAGAAAUAAUGAUGCCAAGGUGACUUACUUGAACUCACUGUACUUUCCUGUGUGAGUAGGUUGUCAAUCUCCAAGCCAAACUCAAGGACGAUGGGACUAUUUCUCCUGCUUUAUACAGAAGGACCACUUGGCUGUGUGUGAAGGAUGCCGAGGAGGAUGCAGGUUUUAACUAUGUAGCUCCAGAUGGCCUGGAACUCACUAUACAGACCAGGCUGACUUUGAACUCAUGGAAACCUGCCUGAACCACCCCUGUAGACUGGGACAGAGUCUCCCAGCGCAAAGAUCAUGGGCUGUGAGGUCCCUACACCAGUCUGUGAAUCACCCUUGCCGGCAAUGGGACCUUGAGCAAAUGAUUAACCAAAGCCUCUUCAUCCUCAAAAUGGGAAUAAUGACAUUGUCCUUGGAGGGCUGUUGUAUACAGUUUUUGGCAUACAUACAUGCAGUUUUAAGGGCAGAGGUGAAGGUGAGGAGCCGCAGGCCUAAGGAUGAAGGAGGAGCAGAAUAAUGGGGUUGGAAUCUCUCUGGAAAGAAACCGAGGCGGCGGGAGCUUUCUGUGGUUCUGCUUGGUCUGGACCAAGGCCACGUAGAAGAGAGUCCGUCAGAACAUCCCAUUGUGUAAAAGGUCACUGUGGGGCCUGGCUAGAGGGAGCCAGGCUUGCUGUUGCCACCCUGACCCCUUCCUGUAGACCCUGACAAGAGUAUGCAGAGUCACAAGCCAUGGUCCAGCUGGCCUGACUUUCUGAGCCAGAGGGUAUUUUUGUCCUGUGAAACUGAAACUCUGAACUCAUGGCACGCCCAUCUCUCCUGCCCCCUGACCUGACGAUCACCCCCUGCGCUAAGUACAUUUAUAUAUUGUCUAACCAUCCCCACUUCUCUUUCCAUGGUAUUUUAAUCUCGGGAAACCGAAACUCUGUGCCCAUUGCACAACCCAUCCCUCUUCCCCCUGCCAUCCCUCUUCCUGGCAAUGCCUGCUUCCUAUAGCUGUGACUUUCACCAGGGACCUCACACAGUGGAAUCCCUUUUUUUUUUCAUUUGGGUCAUCUCCCCCAAUGGCUGAUUUUAAAUGACAUCUGUGCAGUCCGGCUUCUUUAACAUGCAUCUCUAAAAGCUCUCCAGUAAGUGCCUCCUGUUAGUGUUCAGUGUGUGGUUCCUGGACUGGCUGUGUCCUACGUAAACAUCGCUGCACAUUGUUCUCUAACCCUCACACACACGCGCGAACCUUAGUUGCUAGGUUCAGGUGUCACUGUCCUUUCAGAUAUCAGAGCAUGAAACCCGGAGAAGGGUAAUGGUGGCACCGCAGGGCAAUGGUGGCCUGCAGGGCAGAGUUGCAGGGCUCAUAGUCCAGUCUGAGAGUCUAUUGCCUUCUCCAAUCCUCUGGCCACAUCCUGGACUUGGGAGAAGAAGCCCAGCAGAACCCAGAUCCAGUGUCUGCUUAUGGUGCCUGUCCUGUGGGAUCUUGAACUUAACCAUGGCCUGGACUGAUUUUCUCCAGUUUCCAAAACCAUGUUCUUCCUAUGGCUUUGUGGGGGAAGAAAACACACCUUACCAUCAUGUGUGUUAUAUACUGUAUGUGUGUGUGUGCGUGUAUUAUGUGUGUGUGCUUGUGUGUGUUACACGCUAUAUGCAUGCCCAUUCCCAUGCACAUGAAAGCCAGCAGUUGACAUCAGGCAUCCUCCUCUAUUAUUCUCCACAUUAUUAUUUGAGACAGAUCCUCUCAGUAGACUUGGGGUUCACUGAUUUGCUGGGCUGACUGACCAGGCAGUCAGUUCCCAGGAUCCCUGUCUCCAUCUUCUGGUGCUGGGAUUAUAAGUGUGUGCUGCCACACUCAGUUUUUUAUGUGGGUUCUGGGAAUCUCAUGCUUGCAUGGUAAACAAUUUACCCCUAGAUCUGUGUCCCUGGCCCCCUCCCACCUCUUGGCAGGGAAGAAAGAGACCCAGUUGCCUCUUUUCCUGAUGGCCCUCUUAUGCCCUGGACAUUGACUCUCCAACUACUUGUAAGCUUGCCCCACCAAGACUCCCUCUUUCCUUUUGCCUGAAUUACUGCAGUAGCCCUCACAUUGGGCUCUAAUCUCCUACCUGCUGCCUCUGUCUGCCCAGGAAGCCAGGAGUGGCAGACCGGAGCAUCCCAGGGAUCCAGGCACACAGAAGCAGGUGACAUGGUCUCUUUCUUGCUUGGGCAGUGGCCCUGGCCCAGAUGCCUCUGCAUGAGAGGCAUCUCCACCAGGGUCUGAAAGGCCAGUCAGAUCGCUGUUGUUUGUCUGCUCCGAUCCUGGGUCUCGGAGGAGAGUGAACCUCCAGUCCUCCAAUCUUCACUCUACCUGCCUUUCCAGCACCUUCUUCCAAGGCUCCCCACUCACUCCCACCUGCCAGCAAGCUCAACUACUGCAGCUCCCAGAGGCCACUUCUGUUUCUGUCACUGCUGCUCAACUAAGAACUCCAUGCAGCGCAGCAGGUGUCUUGCCUACCUCAUUCACACUUGAGUUCCGUUAAGCUGGCUGAACGAUCAUAGACGGAAAGAACCGGCAGUAAGGACCUUAGCAUGUAAGAACGUUAGCCUGCAUGAUUUAAGCGUAAAGCGUAGCAAUGCAAGGUGAUUCCUGACCUGUCCCAGCUUCUGCUUGGAAGUAUCAGUGAUGCCAACAUUAAACUUAUCCAUGCAGAUAGGAAUAUUUCACCAUAUGUUGGUAGAGACCAAUUCCUAGAGAGGUGCAGAUGGUUAUCAAUAGAUGUCUAUGUUUAAUAUAGAUGAUUUAUCUAUAGACUCCAAGGUUGGCCAAGGCUGGGGACAUAUUCAGUGAUAGAGAACUUACCUAACAUGUAUAAAGCCCUGGGUUCAAUAUCCAGCACUAGAAAAUAAGAGGAGGCUGUAAAGCCCAAUAGGAUCCUGACUUACUAAUUCGCUGAUUAUUUUCCUGAUCACCAACUUGCCCAACAGAUUAGGCAUGCAGAAAUGGCUUUCUCUGCUUUUUACCCCCACCCCGUUAUGUCUCUCUUCUUGCUUCUCCACCCUCUGGGAAGUAGAUCUAAGGUAGAGGAAUUAGGUCAGGAGCAUUGGAUGUGCGGCUGUGGUUGGGGAGAGGAGGAUGGAGAACAGUAUACUUUCCAAGGUAGGAAUUGCUGUGUCUAGUCAUGCUUCUGCUUCCAAUAAAGAGGCUUGAGGAGAGAUAGUGGUGAGGUUCCUGUGCAGCCAGAGAGAUGGUACCUGGGCUUCUGGGAGAGUUGCGUCAAAGGAGAGGAGCAAGAGGAGCCUGCGGUGUGAGCCUCCUUCAUGUGAAGCAUGUGGGAAUUUUCACUGUGAAUGCAUUGUGAGCCCUGUAGGGCCGAGAGUGAUGUGCUCGCUUGGACUGACUGACCCCAGCAACUGCAGAUGGAUUCUGAAGUGUAUUCACCUUCUGCAACCUCCCCAGAGCCAGAGCUGCAGGUGUAUACCACCACACCUGGUACAAAUUGGGACUUUAAAAUAAUCUAAUAAAUUUCCCCUUGUACCCAGUACUCAUGGUAUUUCUGAGAGUCUCUUACAGGCAGUAGCCAGAGUUGUGUCUUAGAUUAAUCUAGACAAUUUCCCUCCAUAUAUCAGCUGUCUGUCUGUCUAUCUGUCAUCUAUCUGUCUGUCUGUCUAUCUAUCUAUCUAUCUAUCUAUCUAUCUAUCUAUCGCUUCCUCCCUCAAUAAUCUCAAAGCCCCACAUAAGUGACAUUUGAGGUUUUGAACCUUCUUGUCACAUGGGCUUCUGGCCUCCAUUAGUAGAAGGCAGUAGCUCUGCUACCCACCCUGCGGUUGUAGCAAGCAAAUCUGUCUGUAGGAUUGUCAGAUGUACUGACAUAAAAUUGCUACCAACUGGGGCCCUCUGAUCUACCAUAUAGACAGUUAAAGCCUUUACUACCACGUGCCAUAUUUUCAGAGUUCAAACUGGGGACUUGGUUACAGUAACAAUGAAAGAUCGGAUCCAGAGCGAGGAAAUGGCAGCAGACUUUAUGAGUGUCAAUGGGGCAUCAUGGGACCUGCUCUGCUCUGAAAUGGUUUUAAGGCCUUGGGUAGGAGGAUUGUCCUUGACACUCACAUUUGCUGGCCAAUCAGUGAGCAAAGUUUCAAGCUGCAGGUGUCCUCUGAAGACAGUCCCAAACCCACCAGAUGCUGCUUGCUGGCUGGGGGAGAUAAGAAUCCCACGGUGAGGCCAGGGCUGUGCGCUUACUGUUCUUUUAUGGAAGCUUCAUUAAAUCAAGCUGUGGCUUAGCAACUUAUGGAGACUUUCUAGCCAAAAUCUCCAUUAAAAAAAAAAACAGAUUUCAAAAAUUCUUCUCCUUGUCUGCAGAUACCUCUGACACCGGUCAUGCUUGCUGGCAGGUGCUUUUACUGCCUGAGUCAUCCUGUUAGCCCUCUUGUCUCCACUUUUCUGUGUCUUUUUUUCUGGCUCUUUGUGCAUCUGUAAAGGAUAGCUUCUAAGUCUGCUUCUUGCGCUGUCCACUGCCUGAGGUUCUGAUUAGGCCCUCACUUCUUGAGAAACUCUCCAGGACUAUUCAUGGGAAGUGUUCAGGAG